GUCUGUAGCUAUACCACUCCAGGAGUUCCUGCUCAUAUCUGAGCUCAGAAGCUAAGCAGGGUCAGCCUGGUUAGUACUUAGACGGGAGACGGUUAACCCGAACUUACUGUUU
rnacentral:rRNA from 1 species